rnacentral:tRNA from 1 species
GAGGGUGUAGCUCAGUGGUAGAGCCCUUGCCUAGCAUGCAGGAGCCUCUGGGUUCCAUCCCCACCACUGUAG